GAGGGGGUGCAAGCGUUAUUCGGAAUUACUGGGCGUAAAGGGUGCGUAGACGGCAUGCUAAGUCUGUUGGUUAAAUUCUUCGGCUUAACCGAGGGGCAGCAGUGGAAACUAGUAAGCUAGAGGAUGGGAGAGAGAAGUGGAAUUCCCGGAGUAGCGGUAAAAUGCGUAGAUCCCGGGAGGAACACCGAUAGCGAAGGCAGCUUCUUGGCCCAUUCCUGACGUUGAGGCACGAAAGCGUGGGGAGCAAACAGGAUUAGAUACCCUGGUAGUCCACGCUGUAAACGAUAACCACUAGACGUUAGUUCAGCUUAGCUGGAUUAGUGUCGUAGCUAACGCGUUAAGUGGUUCGCCUGGGGACUACGAUCGCAAGAUUA
rnacentral:rRNA from 1 species